UAGUCAGGCGGGAUAAUCUCUAUCUGUUCCUCCUUUUGGAGGGCAGUAGAAUGUGCUAAUUGGAGUUGCAUAAUACUUGAUUAUAUCUUGUUAAUGAUGUCUGCAAUAUGAUUGCUUUUGAAUCUUUGAA
ensembl:snoRNA U8 U8 small nucleolar RNA